rnacentral:rRNA from 1 species
GACGAACGCUGGCGGCGUGCUUAACACAUGCAAGUCGAACGGAAAGGCCCUGCUUUUGUGGGGUGCUCGAGUGGCGAACGGGUGAGUAACACGUGAGUAACCUGCCCUUGACUUUGGGAUAACUUCGGGAAACUGGGGCUAAUACCGGAUAGGAGCUCCUGCUGCAUGGUGGGGGUUGGAAAGUUUCGGCGGCUGGGGAUGGACUCGCGGCUUAUCAGCUUGUUGGUGGGGUAGUGGCUUACCAAGGCUUUGACGGGUAACCGGCCUGAGAGGGUGACCGGCCACAUUGGGACUGAGAUACGGCCCAGACUCCUACGGGAGGCAGCAGUGGGGAAUAUUGCACAAUGGGCGGAAGCCUGAUGCAGCAACGCCGCGUGCGGGAUGACGGCCUUCGGGUUGUAAACCGCUUUCGCCUGUGACGAAGCGUGAGUGACGGUAAUGGGUAAAGAAGCACCGGCUAACUACGUGCCAGCAGCCGCGGUGAUACGUAGGGUGCGAGCGUUGUCCGGAUUUAUUGGGCGUAAAGGGCUCGUAGGUGGUUGAUCGCGUCGGAAGUGUAAUCUUGGGGCUUAACCCUGAGCGUGCUUUCGAUACGGGUUGACUUGAGGAAGGUAGGGGAGAAUGGAAUUCCUGGUGGAGCGGUGGAAUGCGCAGAUAUCAGGAGGAACACCAGUGGCGAAGGCGGUUCUCUGGGCCUUUCCUGACGCUGAGGAGCGAAAGCGUGGGGAGCGAACAGGCUUAGAUACCCUGGUAGUCCACGCUGUAAACGGUGGGUACUAGGUGUGGGGUCCAUUCCACGGGUUCCGUGCCGUAGCUAACGCUUUAAGUACCCCGCCUGGGGAGUACGGCCGCAAGGCUAAAACUCAAAGGAAUUGACGGGGCCCCGCACAAGCGGCGGAGCAUGCGGAUUAAUUCGAUGCAACGCGUAGAACCUUACCUGGGUUUGACAUGGAUCGGGAGCGCUCAGAGAUGGGUGUGCCUCUUUUGGGGUCGGUUCACAGGUGGUGCAUGGCUGUCGUCAGCUCGUGUCGUGAGAUGUUGGGUUAAGUCCCGCAACGAGCGCAACCCUUGUUCACUGUUGCCAGCACGUUAUGGUGGGGACUCAGUGGAGACCGCCGGGGUCAACUCGGAGGAAGGUGGGGAUGACGUCAAGUCAUCAUGCCCCUUAUGUCCAGGGCUUCACGCAUGCUACAAUGGCUGGUACAGAGAGUGGCGAGCCUGUGAGGGUGAGCGAAUCUCGGAAAGCCGGUCUCAGUUCGGAUUGGGGUCUGCAACUCGACCUCAUGAAGUCGGAGUCGCUAGUAAUCGCAGAUCAGCAACGCUGCGGUGAAUACGUUCCCGGGGCU